GAUGAACGCUGGCGGCGUGCCUAACACAUGCAAGUCGAACGGAAAGGCCUGCUUUCCCUUGUGGAGUGCGGGUACUCGGGUGGGGAACGGGUGAGUAACACGCGAGUGAUCUGCCCCCGACUUGGGUAUAGGAAUGGGAAACAGGGUCUAAUUCUCGAUAGGACUGCAGGGUUGUGCAGGUGGUGGAAAAUGUUUUUCUAGUGGUUGGGGAUGAGCUGGCGCCCUAUCUGGUUGGUGGUGGGGUAAUGGCCUACCAAGGCGGCGACGGGUAGCCGGACUGGGAGCGUGGACGGUGACAUUGGGACUGAGACACGGCUCAGACGCCUGCGGGCGGCAGCAGUUGGGAAGCUUGCAGAAUGAGCGGAAGGCUGAUGCGGCGAGGCAGCGUGGGAGAUGACCGGCUUCGGGUUGUCUGCUCCUUGCGACCGCGAGGAAUCCACCUGGUUGGAAGGGUGGUGACGGUAGUGGUAGAAGAAGCACCGGCUAACUACGUG
rnacentral:rRNA from 1 species